rnacentral:rRNA from 1 species
UACAGAGGGGGCAAGCGUUGUUCGGAAUUACUGGGCGUAAAGGGCGCGUAGGCGGCCUGCUAAGUCGAACGUGAAAUCCCUGGGCUCAACCCAGGAACUGCGUCCGAUACUGGUUGGCUUGAAUCCGGGAGAGGGAUGUGGAAUUCCAGGUGUAGCGGUGAAAUGCGCAGAUAUCAGGAGGAACACCGGUGGCGAAGGCGGGUCUCUGGGCCGAUACUGACGCUGAGGAGCGAAAGCGUGGGGAGCAAACAGG